UACGAGGGGGGCGAGCGUUGUUCGGAAUUAUUGGGCGUAAAGGGUGCGUAGGCGGUUCCGCAAGUCCUGUGUGAAAUCUUCGGGCUCAACUCGAAGUCUGCACGGGAAACUGCGGGGCUUGAGUGUGGGAGAGGUGAGUGGAAUUCCCGGUGUAUCGGUGAAAUUCGCAGAUAUCGGGAAGAACACCCGUGGCGAAGGCGGCUUCCUGGUCUGCGACUGACGCUGUGGCGCGAAAGCUAGGGGAGCAAACGGG
rnacentral:rRNA from 1 species